UGGGGAAUCUUCCGCAAUGGACGAAAGUCUGACGGAGCAACGCCGCGUGAACGAUGAAGGUCUUCGGAUUGUAAAGUUCUGUGAUCCGGGACGAAGGCAUCGAUUGAGAACAUUGAUUGAUGUUGACGGUACCGGAAAAGCAAGCCACGGCUAACUACGUGCCAGCAGCCGCGGUAAUACGUAGGUGGCAAGCGUUGUCCGGAAUUAUUGGGCGUAAAGCGCGCGCAGGCGGCCGUGCAAGUCCAUCUUAAAAGCGUGGGGCUUAACCCCAUGAGGGGAUGGAAACUGCAGGGCUGGAGUGUCGGAGGGGAAAGUGGAAUUCCUAGUGUAGCGGUGAAAUGCGUAGAGAUUAGGAAGAACACCGGUGGCGAAGGCGACUUUCUAGACGACAACUGACGCU
rnacentral:rRNA from 1 species